rnacentral:lncRNA from 1 species
AAACUGAUUUAAAACUACAGCUUUAUUGCAGAAUUAAAAUUAUUUAUAGGUUACAAUCAUAACUGAAAAAAUAACCAACUCCUAAAGAUAAGGAUAAGGAUUAGAAACUAAUUUUAUUGCUGACUAAUAUUAACUUCUAACAAAUAACAUAAAAAUUAAACUGCUGCAGCUCUUAUGCAUAUUUCUAACACUCCUCCUUGCUUUAAGAGCUGCAAACUCCAAGUUUUUUUUCUGAGAAGUUGAAAUUUGUUUCCCGGUAAAGGCUUGGUGAAGAUAUCAGCCAACUGCUCCUCGGUUUUGCAAUAGAGAAGAAUCACAUCACCAGUCUUUUGCACUUCCCUUAAGAAGAAAAGCUUGAUGUUGAAGUGUUUUGUUUUGGCAUGAAAUACAGGAUUGUGAGAAAUUGCAAUCGCAGAUUGGUUGUCCACAAAAACUUCAGUUCCUUUUGUUUGAUUCAUAUGCAAAUCAACAAAUACUUUCCUCAACCACAGAGCUUGAUUCGCUGCUGCUGUUGCAGCCACAAAUUCUGCCUCUGCAGUGGAUUGAGCCACAAUAUCCUACUUCUUUGAGCACCAAGAAAAUAUUCCGGAGCAAGACUAAAGCAAUAUCUAGAUGUGCUCUUCAUGUCAUCCACUGAUCCAGCCCAAUCACUAUCAGAAUACCCAAGUAGUUUCAGAUUUGGAUUUUUCUGAAACUUGACACCAUAAUUAAUGGUUCCUUUGAUGUAUCUGAUUAGUCUUCUUGUUGCUUUUAGAUGCAGCUCACUAGCAUAAUGCAUGAACCUCGAUAAAAUGCUUACAACAUACAAAAUAUCGGGUCUUGUAGCUGUGAGAUACAUCAAACAACCGACUAAGCCUCUGAAGUACGUUUCCUCCACUUUCUCUGCUCCAUCAUUCUUGCUUAGUUUCUCUUUUUGGUUCAUAGGAGUACUCAUCUCCUUGCAAUCUUCCAUGUGGAACUUCUUCAGAAUUUCUUUAGCAUAUUUCUUCUGAUAAAUAAAAACUUCAUUCUGUCCCUGUUUGAUUUCCAUUCCAAGAAAAUAGGACAUUAGACCAAGAUCAGUCAUCUCGAAGGCUUGCAUCAUUUCUUGCUUGAAAUCUUCAAUAUUCUUUGUAUUGCUCCCAGUAACUAGUACAUCAUCAACAUAUAUAGACACAACAAGAAUAUCAAUGCCAUUAUGUUUAACAUAAAGUGUAGAUUUUGAUACUCUUUUCAAAGCCUAUCCCAACCAAAUGAUCAUCUAUUCAACCAUACCAGGCCCUUGGUGCCUGUUUAAGUCCAUAAAGCGCCUUCCUUAGCCUAUAAACUUUGUUCUCUUUUCCUUUCGUCACAAAGACUUCGGAUUGCUCAACAUAAAUCUCUUCCUGGAGAAAAUCAUUAAGAAAUGCCGAUUUGAAUCCAUCUGAUACACUUUCCAGCCCAAUUGUGCAGCAAGAGCAAGAAGUAACCUGUUCGUGUCAAGCCUAGCCACUGGUGCGAAUAUAUCAAAGUAAUCCAUACAAAAAAUUUGAGCAUAUCCCUUAACGACAAGCCUUGCUUUAUGGUUGUUGACUGAACCAUCAGUAUUUAACUUUGUUCUGAAGGCCCAUUUCAACCCAAUUACUUUUCUGUCUCUAGGUUGAUCAACAAGCUCCCAAGUCAUGUUCUUCUCAAUCAUAAACAACUCCUCUUUCAUUGCAGCCACCUAAUUUUCAUCAUUCUUGGCUUCAAUGUACCCAGCAGGUUCACAUACUGCCACAUUACAUCUCUGAUAUAUAUAUUAGUAAGUAGUCGAGUACCUUUAAUCAGUGAAUGAUCCACCACUUCAUCUUGCGAUGAGAGUGAUAUUUGCUUUUCAGAAACUUUGGCAAGAAACUUUUCUGCUGAGUCCGAAGAGUUUAGGACAGGUUUCUUCGAGUCUUCCCAACACCAUUCUUCAUUCUCCAUAAAAUACACAUCUCUACUGACGAUUAUAUUUUCAGUUUGCGGUUGGAAGAAUUUAUACGCCUUUGAAACUGCACUGUAUCCAAUAAAAAUGCCUGGAACAAAUUUCUUAUCUAGCUUGUCUCGUUUAACUUGAGAAACAUAGGAAAAACAGUGACAACCAAACACUUUAAGGAAGUUUAAUAAUGGUUUGAACCCAUACCAAGCUUCGAAAGGAGUUCGACCUCUCACCGCCUUUGUGGGAAGCCUGUUUUGGAGAAAAACUGAUGUAUUUGUUGCUUCUGCCCAAAAUUUCUUUGGCAAGUUCUUCUUGUGCAACAUGCAUCUGGUCAUCUCUAUUAUGUACCUGUUUCUUCUUUCACUUACUCCAUUUUGUUGAGGAGUAUACAGAGUAGUAAGCUGAUGAUGAAUCCCGGCUUCCUCACAUAAAAUGUUGAAUUGUUGAGAAGUGUAUUCCUUUCCAUUAUCUGUUCGUAUGGACUGAAUUUUACAAGCAGCUUUAUUUUCUACUUUUGCUUUGAACUUCCAAAAGACAUUAGCAGCCUCUGACUUACGCUUGAGAAAGUAAAUCCAACACAUGCGAGUUAGAUCAUCAACAAAAAUGAUGUAGUAAAGACUACCUUUUAGUGAGGGAGUCCUUUGAGGUCCUGCUAUAUCGGUAUGAAUUAGUUGCAAUUUCUUUGACGCUCUCCAAGUUGUUUUUGGAAAUGGAAGUCUGCUUCUAAUAUUGGCAAGCAAGGCAAUUUGAAGAAUUCACUUUUAAGACAGGUAGGUCCUCGACUAUUUCUGCCUUUUGCAUUUUAAGCAACCCUUCAUAGAGAUAAUGUCCUAGUCUUUGCCAUACUUCUGCAACAUUUUCUUUGGCUGAAAAAAUACAUGCUCCUCCUCAAAUGGAUCUAAUGAGAAACUUUUACCUCUCAUUCUUACUUUAAACAUUUCUUGAUCUGAUGCAUCCUUGAUUAAGCAAUGUUUAUCUUCAAAAUUUAAUUUGAAGCCGUUUUCCAUCAAUUGACCAACACUAAGCAAGUUUUGAUCUAUUUCAGGUACAUAAAGCACUUGAGAAAUUGUUUUUGUACCUGGGUGACUUGGAAUAGCAACCGUUCCUUUUCCUUGUACAGGAAUAUAUUCACCGUUACCUAUUCUAACUUUAAUAAUGGUUGUAGGCUUUAAUUCCUUGAAGAGAUCCUUGUCGUUUGUCAUGUGAUUAGUACAUCCACUAUCAAUCAACCAACACUCACUUGAUGAUUUACUUGAAAAACAUGUAGCAACAAAGAGUUGAUCUUCCUCCUCUCCAUCCACGAUUUGAGCAUCUGCUUCUUGUUGCUGAUUUUUGUUCUUGCAAAUGACCGCUUCAUGCCCAAGUUGAUUGUAUUUACUACACUUAGCGUCAGGCCUUCUCCAACACUUGUAUGGUGGAUGGCCUUUCUUGUUACAAUGCUGACAUGGAGGAAAGUUUUUCUUUUUGUUUUCAGUUUUUCCUGUUGCAGUACCUGCUGGAGCGCUUUCAUCGUUCCUCUUGUUCUUCUUCUUUUUAUUUUUACCUCCAUCUUGAGGCUUGGCAAAUAAUGCUCCCUCGGUAUUUCCUUCAUCUCUCAUGACCUUUCGUUGUUCUUGAGCCUGCAAAGCAUUCAACAACUCCAUCAAGGUGAUCUUAGACAGAUCCUUGGUAUUUUCCAAAGUAUUUUCCCUGGUUUUCUUGUCUUUAUGGUUCUUGAUCUGGGCCAUAGUUGGAUUGUCAGGCAAUGGAGGAAUUUCAUAUUCCUCUUCAACUGCCUCCCACAUAUCCAUGGCAUCUAGAUAAGUUUCCAUCCUUACAACCCAAAUCUGAUAGUUUUCACCAUUAAAAGCAGGUAGUGCCAUACUUGAAAAACUUGAUUCUGCUUCCAUGCUUCAUAAACUUGCCUUGUUUCAGUUAUUACUUAGAUGGAAACACCCACAGAUCCCUCAAGAAAUAAGUGUUUUGAUACCAAUUGUUAGUUUCCAGAGAGUGAAGAACAUAAGAAACUGAUUUUACAAGUUGAUGAACAAGUGGAACAUGAGUUUGAUAAGUUUAACAGAGAGAUAUUGAUGAAAGCAAAAACUACAGCUUUAUUGCAGAAUUAAAAUUAGUUAUAGGUUACAAUCCUAACUGAAAAAAUAACCAACUCCUAAAGAUAAGGAUAAGGAUUAGAAACUAAUUUUACUGCUGACUAAUAUUAACUUCUAACAGAUAACAUAAAAAUUAAACUGCUGCAGCUCUUGUGCAUUUUUCUAACAGAAUUAUAAAAAGUUCCGACUUUUAUGAUAUUGUUUCUUAUUUGAACCUUUACCGUCUGUCAUACUGCCUUGUACCUUGAGCCGGAGGUCUAUCGGAAACAGCCUCUCUACCCCGUUAGGGGUAGUGGUAUGGACUACGUAUACUCUACCUCCUCAGACCCCACUAAGUGGGAAUAUACUGGUUUUUUGUUGUUGUUGUUGUUUCUUAUUUGAACCUAUUUUCAUUGAAAUUGGUUGCGUUAAGAAAGGAGUUUUUCAGAAGUUCUACAACUUUAUUAAUGCAUCCUUUUCCAGAACCCCGGAUAUUAAAUGAUAACCUUAACGCCUUUGCUGCACAAAACUAGCAAAAUUUAAUUUUAAAAAAGAUCGAUCGUGAUUAUGCUUUGUUUACCUGAAGCGGGCUCAACUGAUAAAGAUAACUUGCCAAGUACCUGGGACUAGAGGUCAAGGUUGUUGGAGGAUUUUUAGGGCCAUUGUCGUAUGUAACAAUAUUAUCUUGAGAUGCUAUUCCACUGGAAAUCUGUAAUGAAAUAUGAAACAUAAAGUGUUAAUUAUCAGAAGAAAUUGUCUUAAUGCUAAAGCUGGCGAAAUGAUACCUCGAUGAAGAGUGUGGUUGCAUUGAGAUGUUGUAAUGAUCGUGCAAAAUUUAUUUUCUAAAUUUAUCCUAUUUUAACCGAUCUCAUAAUUUUUAGUCAUUAUUUUAUAGUUAUGGGUCAAAUUAAUAUUUUUCUUAACUUUUAAGACAUAAAAAUUUAGGUAGCAGGGUUUAUUAUAUGUAUUAAUAAUCUAUAAUAAAGAUCAGGAAAUUUAGAGAAAGAGGGGCACAACAGUUUCUACAAUGUUUCACGUUCAUCGCUUCAGAACAGAGUAUCUACGCUUCAGGUUAGGCUUACUUUUUUGAUGAAUUUCUUCUUAUUUCUACGAUGCUAUAUCUGCAAUCACAAGGUGUUCUUAUUUCUACGAUGCUAUAUCUGCAAUCACAAGUUGGUCAUAUGGGUGAUUUAAAAGGUUAAUUACAAGGGCAUGGAAGGUUGUGCAUUCACUAGAAUUAGGUGGAUUAAAUUAAUGAUAUUACAUCCUAGUACUAACAUGAAUAACAUUGACAGUUGGUGGGUAAAUAAUGUCAAAGAUGUUAAAUACUAAAAGUGGGCAGUAGCUAGACUAUGGCAUUGAUUAUUUAUGUUAUUUGUGGGUAAAUUAGUGUAAAAGUAGUCCAAAAAAAAGAAGAAUGUUUCUUCUUAUAAUUUAAUGUUGAUUAAAGUGACUUUCUGUACAUGGAAUAGUGCUACUGCAAGCCUUUGUUUUUUUAACUUUUCCAAGCGUCCUUAGCCUAUAUAAUCAUAUAGUGAUCCAACGUGAUGGUGACAAAUUUAGGCAUAGUUGUGAAAUUUAUUUUGAGUAAAAUUUUAUAAAAUGGGUGUCAUUAGAUUCGUAUUCUUGAUUAGAUUGGACUCAUUCGGAGGUGAUUCGGAAGGAUAAAGCUUCCAUCUGAUUCUUUCGGUUUCGAGUUUACUUCUCCAGUCUUUGUUUAAGGCAAGUUGAGACUUUUCUUAGACUCUUUUUCAACGUGUUUAUUUGAAUAUUUGUUUGUUAUGUGUAAUGGGAGUAAUGAAAACUCGGGGGGUCCCGUAUAGAUGAUUGUGACCGAAGUUGCUUGGACUCUCCAAAAACGUUGCCGCAUCUGUGUCGGAUCCUUCAGAAAUACACUAUUUUUGGAGGAUCCGACACGCACCUGUAGACAUUUUUAAAGAGUCCGAGAAACUUAGAUUGUGACGAGCAUCUAUGCGGUUGCAGGUGUUGUUUGAGGGGAUAAAAUAAGUUAAUUGUAUGUUUGAACUGUUUUCCCCUAUGUGCUAGUCCGAUGGACUGAUUGGUUAUGGUACAUAAAUUAGUGAAAAAGUUAGUUAAUGAUGAUACUUGUACUUGAUAAGUUAACUUUGAAAUUGAUGUCUGAUCUGGUUUUAAGAUAAGAAGUGCUUUGCUUGAUUUUAUUGAUUAUUUGGGGUUGGAGUUGCACGUCUGCACAUCAUGCAUUGCAUUUUAUAUGAGAUCGGAGUGCACCCCUGCACAAAUAUUUAUUGGGAUCGGAGUGCAGCCCUACGCAGUAUAUUUAUUGGGAGUGGAGUGCAUGCCUGAACAAUAUACAUAUUGGGGUCGGAAUGCACGCCUGUAUAGUAUAUGCAUUUGCAUUGAUUCAGAUUGGUUAAAGUAUAUUUGUUGACCUUGUACUUAUUAUGUAUGUGUUAUUUAUUUCCCUGGAUUGAGAAAUUCUUGGAUUGUGGUAUGAUAUGCUUAUGACUGUUAAACUUGACUAUUCAGCUAGAUUAAGGUGGCCUUUCUGAGUGCAGGUUGUGUGUUUGUUUUUAGAUGAUUUAUGUGGUGUCACUCGUCACCACUUUGAAUUAGGGUCGGUCGACGAUGCUUGCUGAGUACACGUGGUUCCUUACUCACUCUUGCUUUUUCUGCAACCUACGUGCAAGUACAGAUCUGACGACCUCUGAAUAUUGAUCCCUGUGGUUCCUCUUUGCUAGCAUCAUCGGUGAUUCGAGGUAGUCGCCACUGGCUUUAGAGACUACUGAAAUCUCCUUCAGCCUUAUUCUUAUGCAUUUUCCGCAUUUUGAAAGACUCAAAUUUUCUUUUGUUUCUAUAUUUUAGUGGCUUGUAUUAGUGACUUUCAGACCUGAGACCAUCUACGAAUUGAUUUUACUAGUCUAUUUAUCUACUUUUGAGAUUAUUCAGGAUUGGUUAUAUUCUUACUUUCUUCCGUUUCUAUGAGUUUGAGACGUUCUUGGAAUUUCGUUUUUGGCUUACCUAUCAGGGAGGAUGGAAUAGGUGCCAUCAUGGUCCCGAAUUUUGGGCUGUGACAGAUGUACACCAGACAUUAGAGCAGUGACAAAAACCGCAACUGAAAUCUUUUCCGGAAAGCUUUCCAUGGCUUUAGAUAUGACGAAUCCACUAAAUCUAUAACCUACAAGAACCACUUUUUCACGUGCAGGAAGAGAAGCCAUGAACUCCAUUAGCCGACUGAAGUAAACAGAUAAAUGUGGGAUUUCAAGGACCUGCUUCGGGUUGAUCCCUGAAGCAUACCUGUGACAUUAUGCCCCGAAGAUCCCAUCAAUGCCAUAAUCUUGUACCAAGAUCGGGCUCCAUCGCAUCCCCACGAAGUGUUUGUUAGCUUUAGGGCAUCUAGGCUUGGACAGCAUUGCAUUGCCAUACGGCAAGAGAAGUAUCAGAAAUCAGGUAUUUGCUUUUCUCAAUAGUUUUUUUCCUUUCUUUUGAACUAUGAGCUGUUGUAAACAUGGGAUCAUAUAAUUAGAGGAGUUGACUUUUACAACUUCCAUGAUGAAGAAACCCCAGGUGAAAAUGAGGUAUUGAGUUGUAUUUUCUAAUUAGCAUCCACUAAGUCAAUUAGAUGAAGAUGUUCUAAUUAAUUGAAUUAUUGAUCCUAAAGAUUUUAGCCAGAUGGAUUUCUGCUGAUUACUGAUAGUCUUUCAGAUGAUAUGUCAUAUACUAUACAGAAUAAACCAAAGACAUGGGAUUUUUAUAAUAAGUGUAGCGAUUUUCUAGCAAAGGAUUUUGACAGCACACCAUAAAUCUGAAAAUUAUACAUGGCUCGACUCCCAUAGAGUGAAAUCAUUGGGGAUGUUUGGACAACAGGUGAAAGAUCGAUCCAGCAAUAUCACGUGAAUGAAGAAGGAAAUUUUUACAAGUUAUUAUCAAUUCUGUUUUUUCUUGAAUAUAUGGAAUGAAAAGGUGUAUAACUUAAGCAAAGCUUGUCACUCGUGAAUAAUGCGCAGAAGAAGAGUGAAAAGUUGAAGGGACCUAGACAUCAUGACCAUGUGAUCAGCAUCCGGUAUCUCUUUCACUUCAUCAGGAGGAUUCCUUUCAAUCAUCCAUUGUUGGAAUUCCUUCGUUAGUUGUUUAUCUUCACCAGCUACAAUAAACACUCGUCUUACUGAUCCAUACCUAUUGCUCGAAAGAGCCAUCACUUUAGAUAUGUCCUCCAAAUUAUAUAAAUAUCGUGGCCUAACUAGCAUAGUCGCCAAUGCCCAAUCCUAGCACACCAAAAAUUUAAAAUGCAGGCAGUCAAAUUAGGUCCAUUCCCUUGAAAUACCAGACACACAGUUGUUUCACUUUUAGAUAUUGUUGUGCUCAAUUUUCUUACCUCAUAAGAUUGUUUGCCAAGUACUUUGUACCGAAGUUGAAGGUUGUUGGAGGAUUGCAAGGUCCAUAGUCGUAUGUAACUCGAUCAUCAAGUUGAGAUGCUACUAGUCUAUUACCCUGGAUGAUUUCAAGGCAAUCAUAGCUAUAGAUAAGAGAUCAUCAUCUCAUGGCUGAAAAGUUAGCAAAAAGGUACCUUGCUAUAGAUAGUGGUCGCAUUUAGAGUUGGACCAGGCAUUACAGCUGUGACAAAUAUAGCUACUAAAAUAUUUUGAGGGAAGCUUUCCAUGGCUCUAGAUAUCGCGAAUCCACCAAGGCUAUGGCCUACCAGAACCACUUUCUCAUGUGCAUGAAGAGAAGUCAGGAAAUCCAUUAGCGGACUGAAGUAAUCAGACAAACGUGGGACUUCGAGCACCUGCUUGGGGUUGAUCCCUGAACCACCCAAGUCAAUAGCUGUGACAUUAUGCCCCGACAAUUUUAUGAGUACAACAAUCUUCUACCAGGACCAAUUUUAUGAGUACAACAAUUUUAUGAUUUUGUUAUACUUGUCCAUUAGAGAUCUAAGGGUCAAUAUUAGUUUAAUUAAUUAAGCCCCUAAACCAUGGUUAAACCAGUUGGAAUCAGAUGAUUUUGAGAAAGGCAUCCAAGGACUUAUGUGAGACAGUCUUUCUUUUUUGUCGAGCUAGCCAAAUUGGAUCAACAUUCAUCGUUGAUCCUUCAAUUUUUAUUUUAUAAUUCAAACAUGUUACAUUGUUAUUAAUAACAAACUGUGUAAUCAAUUGAUCCAGGGUGCACACGUCCCAAAAACUAGUACAGUAACAAAAAUACUGGUGAAAGUUGAACUGCCAUUUUUAAAAUUUAUUUCAGCGUACUUUGUUAUUGAAUAUGAAAUCACAGAUCAAGAAGCUUGUCACUUGUGAGCAAUGCGCAGAAGAAGAGAAAAAAGUCGUUGGGGAUUAUACAUCAUGGCCAUGUGAUCAGAUCCCGAGAUCUCUUCCACUUCAUCGGGAGGGUUCUUUUCUAUCAUCCACUCUUGGAUUUCCUUAUUCAGAGUUUUAUCUUCAGCAGCCACGAUGAACACUCGCCUAACUGUGCCGUACCGUUUGCUUGAAAGUCCCAUCUCCUUUGAUAUGUCUUCGUCACUGUAUAUAUAUAAUGGUCUUGUUAAUGUUGUAGCCAACACCCAAUCCUAACAUUAAGAAGGAAAAAGACGCUACUUAUUAGUUCAAUGAUGUUAAGUGUUCUACUCAAAUGAAGGUACAAUCUCAGCUAGUUUUUUCAAAUUGGUAAUUUCUGCUGAUAACAAUUGGCGAAAACAUGAAUUAUUAGGGUCGUCCUCAUUACCAUUUUGCUUGCUUACCUGAAUUGGGCACAGCUGAUAAGUAUUUCUUGCCAAGUACAUUGGACCUAAGAUGAAGGUUGUUGGAGGAUUGGUUGGUCCAUUAUCGUAUGUUACACGAUUAUCAAGUUGCGAUAGCAUUCCACUGGAAGACUUUAACUAGAUAAUAGUUUCAAACGUAAGUGUUAGCUGACAGAAGAGAUCAUAGCAAAG